GAUGAACGCUGGCGGCGUGCCUAAUACAUGCAAGUCGAGCGAACGGACGAGAAGCUUGCUUCUCUGAUGUUAGCGGCGGACGGGUGAGUAACACGUGGAUAACCUACCUAUAAGACUGGGAUAACUUCGGGAAACCGGAGCUAAUACCGGAUAAUAUUUUGAACCGCAUGGUUCAAAAGUGAAAGACGGUCUUGCUGUCACUUAUAGAUGGAUCCGCGCUGCAUUAGCUAGUUGGUAAGGUAACGGCUUACCAAGGCAACGAUGCAUAGCCGACCUGAGAGGGGGGAUCGCCCACAUGGGAAUGGGAACCCGCCCAAGACCCGGGGGGGGGGAGCAGUGGGGGAAUUUCCCGAAGGGGGGAAAAGCCUGAGGGGGCACGCCCGGGGGGGGAAGAAUGGUCUCGGGAUCGAAAAACUGUUUUAUGGGGAAAAAAAAUAUGUUAAAGAAAUUGGGCAAAUCUGGAGGUUCCCUAAAAAAAAACCCCCGGCUAACUAGGGC
rnacentral:rRNA from 1 species